rnacentral:rRNA from 1 species
GACGAACGCUGGCGGCGUGCUUAACACAUGCAAGUCGAACGAAGAGCGACGGAAGCUUGCUUCUAUCAAUCUUAGUGGCGAACGGGUGAGUAACGCGUAAUCAACCUGCCCUUCAGAGGGGGACAACAGUUGGAAACGACUGCUAAUACCGCAUACGAUCUAAUCUCGGCAUCGAGGAUGGAUGAAAGGUGGCCUCUACAUGUAAGCUAUCACUGAAGGAGGGGAUUGCGUCUGAUUAGCUAGUUGGAGGGGUAACGGCCCACCAAGGCGAUGAUCAGUAGCCGGUCUGAGAGGAUGAACGGCCACAUUGGGACUGAGACACGGCCCAGACUCCUACGGGAGGCAGCAGUGGGGAUUCUUCCGCAAUGGACGAAAGUCUGACGGAGCAACGCCGCGUGAGUGAUGACGGCCUUCGGGUUGUAAAGCUCUGUUAAUCGGGACGAAAGGCCUUCUUGCGAAUAGUGAGAAGGAUUGACGGUACCGGAAGAGAAAGCCACGGCUAACUACGUG